rnacentral:rRNA from 1 species
UACGUAGGGGGCGAGCGUUGUCCGGAGUUACUGGGCGUAAAGGGCACGCAGGCGGUGCGGCGCGUUUCGCGUGGCAGCGGAGGGCUUAACUCUCCGAGGAUGCGAAAGACGGCGGCACUUGAGGGCCAGAGAGGGACACGGAAUUCCGGGUGGAGUGGUGAAAUGCGUAGAGAUCCGGAGGAACACCGAAGGCGAAGGCAGUGUCCUGGCUGGUGACUGACGCUGAGGUGCGAAAGCUAGGGGAGCGAACGGG